rnacentral:lncRNA from 10 species
GAGAUCAAGGAUGCUGUUGGGAGUCUGAGAUGUAUCAGAACACAUGUUUGUUUAAAGCCACUGAGUUGGAGCUGCCAGGGAGGAGGAGGAGAGGCAGGGCCCAUGGAGCAUCUAGUGUCAGGAAUAGAGGCUGUUUCAAGAAGGAUGUUUCGAGAAGGAGAGGGAGGUCAAUAGUGUCAAACGUUGCUGAGAAGUGGCUCUGAGCACGGGAUCCCACACUGGGACUUGGCAGCAAGGAUCACAACACCAAGAGCCAUUUGGUGACACAGGGGAUGAAGGCCUGCUCAAGGGCACCGAGGAGAGGGUGGCGGUGAAGAAACCGAGGCUCAGGGACCCCUGAGAGCAGAGGGAAGGGACGUCAUUCUGCAGAGUGACCAGCAGGGGGCGAGCGGGACUGCUCUGUGGCUCCGAGGACCCAGCGGCAGGUGCACUGCUCUGAGAGUGAACGCUGCCUUACAUUUUGCACGGUAAAGCACCAUGACUCAGAGAAGGCAAGUGACUUGCCUAAAAUCACAGGGCCCACAGAGUCACAGCCAGAAUGCAAGCCUGGGCCCUCAGAUCUGGAGUAUGCCCUCUUCACCAUGGCUCCAGGCACCAAAACUCCAGGUAGCUUUGGAUUUUGUGCUAUCUGUGUUUUAUUUUCCUUAAUAUAUAUUUUAAACGGAC